UACGUAGGGUGCGAGCGUUAAUCGGAAUUACUGGGCGUAAAGCGUGCGCAGGCGGUUAUAUAAGACAGUUGUGAAAUCCCCGGGCUCAACCUGGGAAUGGCAUUUGAGACUGCAUGGCUAGAGUGUGUCAGAGGGGGGUAGAAUUCCACGUGUAGCAGUGAAAUGCGUAGAGAUGUGGAGGAAUACCGAUGGCGAAGGCAGCCCCCUGGGAUAACACUGACGCUCAUGCACGAAAGCGUGGGGAGCAAACAGG
rnacentral:rRNA from 1 species